rnacentral:rRNA from 1 species
GACGAACGCUGGCGGCGUGCUUAACACAUGCAAGUCGAACGGAAAGGCCCUGCUUUUGUGGGGUGCUCGAGUGGCGAACGGGUGAGUAACACGUGAGUAACCUGCCCUUGACUUUGGGAUAACUUCAGGAAACUGGGGCUAAUACCGGAUAGGAGCUCCUGCUGCAUGGUGGGGGUGGGAAAGUUUCGGCGGUUGGGGAUGGACUGGCGGCUUAUCAGCUUGUUGGGGGGGUAGUGGCUUACCAAGGCUUUGACGGGUAGCCGGCCUGAGAGGGUGACCGGCCACAUUGGGACUGAGAUACGGCCCAGACUCCUACGGGAGGCAGCAGUGGGGAAUAUUGCACAAUGGGCGGAAGCCUGAUGCAGCAACGCCGCGUGCGGGAUGACGGCCUUCGGGUUGUAAACCGCUUUCGCCUGUGACGAAGCGUGAGUGACGGUAAUGGGUAAAGAAGCACCGGCUAACUACGUG